AUUGAACGCUGGCGGCAUGCCUUGAACAUGCAAGUCGAACGGCAGCACGGGAGCAAUCCUGGUGGCGAGUGGCGAACGGGUGAGUAAAGUAUCGGAACGUGCCCAGUCGUGGGGGAUAACGUAGCGAAAGUUACGCUAAUACCGCAUACGAUCUACGGAUGAAAGCGGGGGAUCGCAAGACCUCGCGCGAUUGGAGCGGCUGAUAUCAGAUUAGGUAGUUGGUGGGGUAAAGGCUCACCAAGCCGACGAUCUGUAGCUGGUCUGAGAGGACGACCAGCCACACUGGGACUGAGACACGGCCCAGACUCCUACGGGAGGCAGCAGUGGGGAAUUUUGGACAAUGGGCGCAAGCCUGAUCCAGCCAUGCCGCGUGCAGGAUGAAGGCCUUCGGGUUGUAAACUGCUUUUGUACGGAACGAAAAGGUUUGGCCUAAUAAGCUGGACCCAUGACGGUACCGUAAGAAUAAGCACCGGCUAACUACGUGCCAGCCGCCGCGGUAA
rnacentral:rRNA from 1 species